CCUACGGGUGGCAGCAGUGAGGAAUAUUGGUCAAUGGUCGGGAGACUGAACCAGCCAAGCCGCGUGAGGGAUGAAGGUACAGAGUAUCGUAAACCUCUUUUGUCAGGGAACAAAGGCGGGGACGUGUCCCCGGAUGAGUGUACCUGAAGAAAAAGCAUCGGCUAACUCCGUGCCAGCAGCCGGGGUAAUACGGGGGAUGCGCGCGUUAUCCGGAUGUAUUGGGGUAAAGGGGUGCGCAGGCGGUCUGUUAAGUCAGCGGUAAAAGCCCGGGGCUCACACCCGGCCCCCCGUUGAAACUGGCAGUCUCGAGUUGGAGAGAAGGAUGCGGAAUGCGCGGUGUAGCGGUGAAAUGCAUAGAUAUCGCGCAGAACUCCGAUUGCGAAGGCAGCAUGCCGGCUCCACACUGACGCUGAGGCACGAAAGCGUGGGUAUCGAACAGGAUUAGAUACCCCUGUAGUC
rnacentral:rRNA from 1 species